rnacentral:rRNA from 1 species
UACGUAGGGUGCGAGCGUUGUCCGGAAUUAUUGGGCGUAAAGGGCUCGUAGGCGGUUUGUCGCGUCGGGAGUGAAAACCAUGGGCUUAACUCAUGGCUUGCUUUCGAUACGGGCAGACUAGAGGUAUGCAGGGGAGAACGGAAUUCCUGGUGUAGCGGUGAAAUGCGCAGAUAUCAGGAGGAACACCGGUGGCGAAGGCGGCUCUCUGGGACGGUACUGACGCUGAGACGCGAAAGCGUGGGGAGCGAACAGG